rnacentral:rRNA from 1 species
GUAACAUGGAUUGCUUGCAACCUGAUGACGAGUGGCGCACGGGUGCGUAACGUGUAUGCAAUCUACCUUUUACAGGAGAAUAGCCCAGAGAAAUUUGGAAUAAUGCUCCAUAAUAUCAUUUAUCAGCAUUGGUUUAUGAUUAAAGCUCCGGCGGUAAAAGAUGAGCAUGCGUUCUAUUAGCUAGUAGGUGAGGUAACGGCUCACCUAGGCUACGAUAGAUAGGGGCCCUGAGAGGGGGAUCCCCCACACUGGUACUGAGACACGGACCAGACUCCUACGGGAGGCAGCAGUGAGGAAUAUUGGACAAUGGAGGAAACUCUGAUCCAGCCAUGCCGCGUGCAGGAUGACUGCCCUAUGGGUCGUAAACUGCUUUUAUAUAGGAAGAAACACUCCCACGUGUGGAGGCUUGACGGUACUAUAUGAAUAAGGAUCGGCUAACUCCGUGCCAGCAGCCGCGGUAAUACGGAGGAUCCAAGCGUUAUCCGGAAUCAUUGGGUUUAAAGGGUCCGCAGGCGGCCUGUUAAGUCAGAGGUGAAAUCCUACAGCUCAACUGUAGAACUGCCUUUGAUACUGAUAGGCUUGAGUUAUUGUGAAGUGGUUAGAAUGUGUGGUGUAGCGGUGAAAUGCUUAGAUAUCACACAGAAUACCCAUUGCGAAGGCAGAUCACUAACAAUAUACUGACGCUCAUGGACGAAAGCGUGGGGAGCGAACGGGAUUAGAUACCCCGGUAGUCCACGCCGUAAACGAUGGAUACUAACUGUUCGACCUUCGGGUUGAGUGGUCAAGCGAAAGUGAU